UACGAAGGGGGCUAGCGUUGCUCGGAAUCACUGGGCGUAAAGGGCGCGUAGGCGGCCAUUCAAGUCGGGGGUGAAAGCCUGUGGCUCAACCACAGAAUUGCCUUCGAUACUGUUUGGCUUGAGUAUGGCAGAGGUCAGUGGAACUGCGAGUGUAGAGGUGAAAUUCGUAGAUAUUCGCAAGAACACCAGUGGCGAAGGCGGCUGACUGGGCCAUUACUGACGGCUGAGGCGGCGAAAAGCGUGGGGAGCAAACAGG
rnacentral:rRNA from 1 species